GUUGAAAAUUGUUACCAUGUGUUUUAAUGGUAAGGCCUCUGUGUUCUCUGUAUUUGGUGGUAAACCAUGUUCGCUACUAUUAUAAGGAAGUGAAACUAAUGAAAUGUUAUUUGAAUUAGUUGAAUCUUUGGCUAUAGUGGAACUAAGAUAUUUGACAUUUAAAGGGGUACUAACAAUAGUGAUUUUGUAGUUAGUUUUUUCUUGAAUUUUUUUGGCUAAGGCUAUGAAAGGUAUCAUAUGGCCAAGUGCUAGAAAUGGAAGGAUUACUAUAUGUUCUUGAUGGCCACUCAUUUUAUU